GCAAGUCGAACGGUGAUAGCAAUAUCAUAGUGGCGCACGGGUGCGUAACACGUAUGCAACCUACCUAUUAUUGGGGGAUAGCCUUUGGAAACGGAGAUUAAUACCGCAUAAUACGAUUGACUGGCAUCGGUUGAUUGUUAAAGCUUCGGCGAUAAUAGAUGGGCAUGCGUCCAAUUAGUUAGUUGGUUAGGUAACGGCUGACCAAGACGAUGAUUGGUAGGGGAUCUGAGAGGAUAAUCCCCCACACUGGCACUGAGAUACGGGCCAGACUCCUACGGGAGGCAGCAGUAGGGAAUAUUGGGCAAUGGGCGGAAGCCUGACCCAGCCAUGCCGCGUGCAGGAAGAAGGCGUUAUGCGUUGUAAACUGCUUUUUUAUAGGAAGAAGGAUCCCUUGCGAGGGAAGGUGACGGUACUAUAAGAAUAAGCACCGGCUAACUCCGUGCCAGCAGCCGCGGUAAUACGGAGGGUGCAAGCGUUGUCCGGAUUUAUUGGGUUUAAAGGGUGCGUAGGCGGUUUAUUAAGUCAGUGGUGAAAGACGGUCGCUCAACGAUUGCAGUGCCAUUGAUACUGGUAGACUUGAGUGAGAUUGAGGUAGCUGGAAUGGAUAGUGUAGCGGUGAAAUGCAUAGAUAUUAUCCA
rnacentral:rRNA from 1 species